rnacentral:miRNA from 1 species
CCAAUGACUAUUCAUGAUUU